GAUUAACGCUGGCGGCGUGCUUAACACAUGCAAGUCGACCGAUGAAACUUAACUGAUUUCUUCGGGAUAAUUUUAAGUGGAUUAGUUGCGGACGGGUGUGUAACGCGUGAGUAACCUGCCUUCUAGAAGGGGAUAGCCUUUGGAAACGAAGAAUAAUACCCUAUGAUAUGAUAGUAUCUCAUGAUAUUAUCAUCAAAGAUUUAUCGCUCUAAGAUGGACUUGCGUCUGAUUAGUUAGUUGGUGAGGUAACAGCUCACCAAGGCAGCGAUCAGUAGCCGGCUUGAGAGAGUGUACGGCCACAUUGGGACUGAGACACGGCCCAGACUCCUACGGGAGGCAGCAGUGGGGAAUUUUGCACAAUGGGGGAAACCCUGAUGCAGCGACGCCGCGUGAUUUAGAAGGCCUUCGGGUUGUAAAAAUCUUUUGUAUGGGAAGAAAAUGACAGUACCAUACGAAUAAGGACCGGCUAAUUACGUG
rnacentral:rRNA from 1 species